rnacentral:rRNA from 1 species
GACGAACGCUGGCGGCGUGCCUAAUACAUGCAAGUCGAGCGGACUUUCAAGAAGCUUGCUUUUUGAAAGUUAGCGGCGGACGGGUGAGUAACACGUGGGCAACCUGCCUGUAAGACGGGGAUAACUCCGGGAAACCGGGGCUAAUACCGGAUAAUAUCUUUCUUCGCAUGAAGGAAGGUUGAAAGGCGGCGCAAGCUGCCGCGUGCAGAUGGGCCCGCGGCGCAUUAGCUCGUUGGUGAGGGAACGGCCCACCAAGGCGACGAUGCGUAGCCGACCUGAGAGGGUGAUCGGCCACACUGGGACUGAGACACGGCCCAGACUCCUACGGGAGGCAGCAGUAGGGAAUCUUCCGCAAUGGACGAGAGUCUGACGGAGCAACGCCGCGUGAGCGAAGAAGGUCUUCGGAUCGUAAAGCUCUGUUGUCAGGGAAGAACAAGUACCGUUCGAAUAGGGCGGUACCUUGACGGUACCUGACCAGAAAGCCACGGCUAACUACGUGCCAGCCGCCGCAGUAA